rnacentral:rRNA from 1 species
AACGAACGCUGGCGGCAGGCUUAACACAUGCAAGUCGAGCGCCCCGCAAGGGGGGCGGCAGACGGGUGAGUAACGCGUGGGAACGUACCCUUUGCUACGGAAUAGCUCCGGGAAACUGGAAUUAAUACCGUAUGUGCCCUACGGGGGAAAGAUUUAUCGGCAAAGGAUCGGCCCGCGUUGGAUUAGCUAGUUGGUGGGGUAAUGGCCUACCAAGGCGACGAUCCAUAGCUGGUCUGAGAGGAUGAUCAGCCACAUUGGGGCUGAGACACGGCCCAAACUCCUACGGGAGGCAGCAGUGGGGAAUAUUGGACAAUGGGCGCAAGCCUGAUCCAGCCAUGCCGCGUGAGUGAUGAAGGCCUUAGGGUUGUAAAGCUCUUUCACCGGAGAAGAUAAUGACGGUAUCCGGAGAAGAAGCCCCGGCCAACUUCGUGCCAGCAGCCGCCGUAACAC